rnacentral:piRNA from 1 species
UUCAGUUUUACAGGAUUGUCCUACGGCAGC